CUACUGUUGUCACUAUCGGUGCCCUCACAAAGGCACUGACUUGGAUGCUGCAUGUGGUAAGUGCUAUUUGUUGGGGUAGUUUCAAGUGA
rnacentral:pre_miRNA from 8 species